UACGUAGGGUCCGAGCGUUGUCCGGAAUUACUGGGCGUAAAGCGCGCGCAGGCGGCCCGCGAGGUGUCACGUGAAAGCCCCGGGCUCAACCCGGGAGGGUCGUGGCAAACCGGCGGGCUUGAGGCCGGUAGAGGUGGGUGGAACUCCUGGUGGAGUGGUGAAAUGCGUAGAUAUGCGGAGGAACACCGAUGGCGAAGGCAAUCCCCUGGGCCUGCACUGACGCUCAUGCACGAAAGCGUGGGGAGCAAACAGG
rnacentral:rRNA from 1 species